rnacentral:rRNA from 1 species
GCGGCCGGCAGGAGCGCGCGCGCCCUGGCAGAUCGCAGAGAGCCGAGCAUCCGCAGUACCGCGUCGCCCUGUUCUUCCACCUCCUCGGCUGCCUCCACGUGGACGUGCGGCGCCUCUAGUGCGAGACGCGGUUGUCGACGCCGAAGGGCCCGUUGGGCCGGUGGUUCUUGGAGACGGUCUUGACGAAGGACCGCAGGAGGAGGAGGAGCGGCAGCGGGAGGCGGCGGAGCGGCGGCAGGGGAAGGAGGAGCGGGCGCCGGCGCAAGGGCGAGAAGCUGUUCGGCUCCGGCCGGCGGCGGCGCAGCGGCCGGCGCGGGCAGAUGUACCGGCAGCUGGCCGGACGGCGGCCCGGCCGCCUGGGCUUCCGCAGGUUCAGCAGCCACUUGGCGACGGUGUUGACGGCCUUCGCGCACCCGGACUGCCCCAAGGCGACGGCCACGCCGCUCUACAAGACGCCGCGCGUGGCCAUGAGCCUGGCCGUGCUGACGUCGAUGCUGAUGUUCAGCCGCCGGUCCCUGCGGUAGCGGGCCCUCUUGGGGCAGCACGCGCGGCGGUUCUAGCAGGCCAAGACUAGUGGUGCUGAUGUUUAGGCUUCGUCGUCUCGGGUGAGAAAAGGAAAGAAAGGAAACUUUUUUAAUUUCCGCAGGGGCUCUCAAAGUUUUUUUUCCUCUCCUUCCACCCACUUUCUACCGCUACCCCGCCGGUGCUGCUUCUUUGUCACGCUACUAUUCCAACAACAACAUCGCCACCAACCGCCACCUCCCUUCUCUCCUCUACUCCUUCUACCCCAACCACACAUGACAACAGGGUGCUAGAGAUAAAUUAAGUUUAAAGGGAUAACAUAUUUAAUAAUAGUAGUAGUAAAGAUGCUACGUCAUAAGCGACCGAAAUCGACAGUCGGGAAAAGAGGGAGGGUGACCGGCGCUUAACAGGCACUGUCGAGUUGGUAACUGCAAACCUAGCGAGGCAACCUAGCCAAGCCG